GCACCCGUAGUCUAACGGAUAGAACGUAGGCCUCCGACGCCUUUGAUGCAGGUUCGAUUCCUGUCGGGUGCA
rnacentral:tRNA from 2 species